rnacentral:tRNA from 2 species
GGAAGAGUGUCCGAGUGGUUUAAGGAACUGGUCUUGAAAACCAGCGUAGGGGUAACUCUACCGUGGGUUCGAAUCCCACCUCUUCCG